GUACUGAUGAAGAGUCCCAAACCAGGACGAAACAGCUGGCUUUCCAGUAC
rfam:Trichobilharzia regenti genome assembly, scaffold: TRE_scaffold0012261